CGGCGUACCACUUCCAUGGUGCCACUAGCGGGUCACCUCCCAUCAUACUGAGGCUCUUGAUAUCCUGCAGAGCAGCAAGCAAUGAAUUAUGGGUAUCAGCGCAAUCACAGUGUAAGAUGGGAGCGGUUCUCUCUAGCUGAGAUUCACAACGCAGAACAUUUUGAUGGGCCGCGUGUGGGCAGCAGAGGAAAGGGGGUAUGAUAACGAGCGGCUUUUUAUGCUGCAUGUGGAUUUCAUAUUAGUUGGAACAGGGGAGUGCUUAAGGACAGUGGACGACACUGCCAAUUUACUGUCACUACAUCAAGAACACCUCAACUGUGUUUCAGAACAUCAAGCAGUCAAUCGAUUUCAAGACAGGAAUUAUGCAUUAACCAUGAUAUGUUUGAUUACAGUGGCAUAGCUUUCUUUUCAGAUUCAAUCAGUCAUUCCCCAGUUGAAAUGAAAGGUAUGCCUAUUUAUAGAAAUGGCCCACCAACCUCAGCAGAGAAAAUGUGGCAUCCACACUUCUGUUUUAGAGCAUUGUAGUAAUAUGUAUUAAACAUUUAUUAGUCACCAAGUUUUUAUCCUUUAUGGGAGUUUGUAAACAAGUGGAAAAUGCAUGUAUUAGUAAGAAGUGAAUAACCUGUCACUAACAGCAACUUGAAUCUAGUGACAAUUUCAUUAAAAGUGUUCUGUGACUGGAAAGUGCACAAUAUUAUACGCAUUUAAAUAAUGGGCCUAGUAUUGGAAUAUGUUCUUACAAUAAAUGUGUAAUAAAAGAUUUUUUUGUUUACAGUUAA